rnacentral:ncRNA from 2 species
UUCGUCUCACGUGACUGGCGAAAAGCCGGGAUUUCUUUCCGGCCAAGAUGGGUAUCCAUCGGGAAGCGUGAGAUUUCAUCAGCCGUGCGCCUGGGCAGCCGAA